rnacentral:rRNA from 1 species
UAAUACGUAGGUGGCAAGCGUUGUCCGGAUUUAUUGGGUUUAAAGGGUGCGUAGGCGGCCUAUUAAGUCAGUGGUGAAAUAUCUCAGCUUAACUGAGAAGGUGCCAAUGAUACUGAUGGGCUUGAGUACAGAUGAGGUAGGCGGAAUUGACGGUGUAGCGGUGAAAUGCUUAGAUAUCGUCAAGAACACCUAUAGCGAAGGCAGCUUACUAGGCUGUAACUGACGCUGAGGCACGAAAGUGUGGGGAUCAAACAGGAUUAGAUACCCUGGUAGUCCACACUGUAAACGUUGAUUACUCGCUGUGUGCGAUAUACAGUACGCGGCCAAGCGAAAGCGCUAAGUAAUCCACCUGGGGAGUACGCCGGCAACGGU